UCCACGUGCAAAGUGCAAACAAAAAACCCGCAUGUUAAACAGCAUUUUCAAGGUCUUGGCAAAGAAUAUAUAUUUUUAUUGUUUGAACGCCAGCUUUUAUGGUUUAAAACGUUAUAGCCUCAAAUAUUAUUACUAUAGAUUUCCCACCAUGCGAAAAACGGAUAAAGGAGUGUCAUAAUGGCACAAUACCCAACUGUCUGGUUAAAAACAGGCUGGAGCAACAUUUCGUAUGUUGCGAGAGAAGCAAACUGGCCAGAAAUCACUUUUCAAAGCAAGAAAAUGAAGUUCCAAGAAACUAAGACUAGGCUGCACUCUACUUAUGCAUGUAAAGUAAUUAGCAAUGUACCCAGAAUUCAGAUGAGCACUUCGGAGCAAUGUUGCCAUUGGCAGCCCCAAAAAUCGGCGACGGAGGCAAUACAUUGACUAAGGUUGGCGCUACAGAAAGAAAAGUCUACUGGCAAGCCUGUGCUUCGUGAGCAUCCCUUCUACUAUGAGCAUAUCGGACAAGCAGGGUCACUGCAACCAUGACAACGACGCUCGUUGUGCAGGCUACGCGCAGCCUAUGAACUAUGAAUUCUAAAAAAAAGUCUCUGUCAUUCUACUCUGUGAAGGUGCAUGACCAGCGAAGCUGUGUAUGUGGGUCCCUUAUUAAUGGCUAACUGCUCAUUGUCUCGCGUCAAACGCCGUAUGCACACAAAUGGAAGGCGAGGCGUGACUACAGACGCUCAUUCACGAUGUUGAGCUUUGAAAGAUGAUGAGGCACCGGGGUGUAUACAUAGCUGUGUAUACACCGCGGCACGAAGUGUACCGCGGCCCAUGUAUAAACCGCGGCACGAUACCUUUUACUAAUGAAUCCCGGCACGUAGAACGGACACGCACCUCACUGCACUCCGGCAGCGCACUCUGUUUCACUGUAGCCAAGGCGAUCGUCCAGUGGACGACGUCCCGCAGUGCAGUAAUGGAUGUGACGUUACUCGAAAACCACAAGCGGUCACAAACAAUAAAGGCCACAAAAACAAAUGGUUCCCUACAAACUCUCCCUGCAAUCUGGCCAUUGCUCUGGCGAAACGUUCCAAGUUCGAGGGAUCGGGGCCACAUGGACGGUUGGCUUCUCUUUCCACCUCGCAGUCCUGGCGGGAAGCAUGCUUACGAGACCGCCAUCACAGGAGAGUGGAAGAGAAGCCCUUGGGACGCCGACAAAGAGCGUGGCGUGAACGUAGUUAUGACCAGCAUGUGUCAAACUGUAGUGUGUUUUAUCAGCUAUAUAUCUGAUACGGGUUGCAUUUGGACUGAAGAUAUUGUUUUUGUGGAUAGCAGUAAGGUUUUGCGCGUUUACUACAAGAGCAAGUAUGGAACAGGUGGUUAUCAAAAAAAAGGAAAAUUGUGUUUAAGACGUGGAUGCAGUAAAGAAAUAAAUAAGAACAGUAGCAUCCAGUGUAAAUGAGGAUGAACUAAGAAUGGUGAUGGAGGCUUUGGAGCAGCCACCACGCUGGGAACAAAAUUACAAGCAACAGGCCUACAUAAAAAACAAGUGGCUAAUUGUCAAGGAGAUAUGGAUAAAAAUUAAGCGCAUGCAAGACAGAUCCUACUUAUCGUUUGUGGACAAGAUAAGCGCCCACAAUUUUUUUUAAUAAAGUGAGGGCUACUCAUUUCAUGAUUAGCACACGUCAAACACUCCUUCACAUGUUCUCCGUAACGUGUACAUAGAACUCAAUACACGGGAGUUCCGCUUCCACGGAAUGCGGCCGGCGCGGCCUAGAUUUGAACCCGCGACUUCAUUUUCAGCGGUAAAGAGCCAUACUAGUUCAGCCACCUCGUCGGGUGUAAAGGCAGUCGUCUUCACGCUGUACCUAAAGCCUCGGGUGGACAACGCUGCUACAAGAGCACAACUACUUGAUGAGGCAAAACAUUUAUUCAAGCCUUCAACUUUGAGCUUCAACGCGACGUAUACCAGAACCAAUAGACCAAGGAGUCACCACGACUUCCUACAAGUCAUGUAAACUUUACGUAAUGUUCGAAGACGAAUUACAUCGCACAACUUUCAUGCCCUUAUAAGUCUAGAGAAUAAAUUUGGUGACACAAACCUACAUGAAGAUAGCUUACCAUUAAUGCGAAGUAACCUCUGCUUACUUUGGGCACUUUGAGCCUACCUGUCUAUCUAGCCUCUUACGCCCGAUCCAGUGGCUCAAGUUUUAUGAUAGCUUGGGCAACUAUGUGCUCGCUGUCGGGGUGCUGUCGUGGUCACUUCUACAACUGUAUAUAUAUGGUGAUAUGUAUGAGAGGAUAUGCAUGCUUGACAUGACGUGAAUUGCAUGGCAUAAAUGACAUGCCUGAUAUGUAUUACACGUAACAUGCAUGCAUGGCAUGAAUGACAAUUUGUGACAACAUUUGGGUUACUAAGUAUGUGCUCGUGGUCGCGUCAUGGUCUUUACUUUAUCGGUGCAUACCAACUGCCCCGUGUAAUUGUGCUAAAAUUUAAAUAUGUGCGAGUUCCACUUAGCUAGGCAGAACCAAGGUAAUGUUGUUUGUCAUCGCUUGGAGCGUCAGACUGUCUGUGUUUCGCCUCAUUACGUCAUUAGUUAUUAAUUAUUCGGCUUCUUUAGUAUUACAAUCAGAGCAAAGGUGUCAUUGAGAACGUUGUAGGCCAACCUGAAGAAUUUUUGAUCCAGCUCUGUGUUACUCAGUACCUGUUACAUGAAAUUUUUUCCAAGCCUCAAAGAGAGGCCAUGAAACACGAAAAAAUUGCCUCCCAAGCUCUCCGUACAGAUGGUUAACCAGUGAAAUUGAAACGUGUGCCCCCGGCGUUUAUCACUGGGGUAAUCCGGAUGAUAAAUAAACGACGGCUUGGUUGUCUGCCAUAUUCUCGGUGUGCAGUUGCUGCUUGCGCCCGGGCUGCAGCAUCGGCAUGGCAUAGACGAGCUCGUUCCCAGUUCUGCUCGCGGCGUUGCUGAUCGAAAGCUGCCUUCUCCUAGGGAGUACGUAGGACACGUAGCCAACCCAUUUCGGAGCCGGAGAGAAACUGGUAUAUGCGCGCUCGGCUGUGACGGAGAGCAACGACGUCACUACGGGCGCAGCAACUCCAACACCACCCAGAUAGCACAAGUCCGAUCCGUGACGUCAGUUACCUGGCCCGCCUAACAUAAAUCUAAUGUAGAUGCUCCCGAGUAAGAAACCGGGAUUUUGACGCCACCGCAUUCAUCACGCCAUCUAUGGAGAUGCCGGGCCAGGUAGCGUGACCUCAUGAAUUGGAGUAAACAGGCCUCGUGUUGUCAAGGUUGUGUUGACUAAUCGCGCACCUCCGGCGCAUGGGGCUGCGCCGGAGGAGUUUUCGGCGUACAGGUGACCGACAUAUGGACGGACGGACGAAUCGGCUAGUUAUAUACAGCUUCACUGUAAAAUCUACUUACUAGACCUUCGCAUCGACACAAACAGUGCUACUAAACCAAAAAACAAACACCUCAAGGCCUUCUUAGCCGGAAGCAGCGGUCACCGCAGCCUGUAAAGACAACAGGAAUCCUAGUGGAGAAUUUUUUCUCAGAGAAUGAGGAGCAGUUUUUCUCGUAAAAUGGGAGAUUUUCGCAAAUUUACCACCUCUAUGACAAUGUGGUGCCGGCGUACCUGCAAUGGAGGCCCCCUGUCCUAGCUAAGUAUGUGUAGGGACGAUUCACUAAAUCCUUGGAAUUUAAAUCCAAGGACAACAAACGGGGCAGUCGCAUGGGUGAACUUAUGGUGCACUUCAUGAGUGGAAGCACAGACUUUCAUGAAGUCCACUUUUGUACACCAAGCUGCACGUGCCCCUCGACUUUCAAAAGACAAAACUUCCCUGCAAACAUUUUGCAGCUGUGUUUACGUUUGUCAGUGGCUGGGAUUUCUCCCGUCUACCUGACGAAUCCAGGAAUGGGCUAUACACGAUGUUCUGUGUGGUCAGAACUGACACACUGACUUAUUUUGAAGCCACUGAGUCGCCAACUGAAAUAGCGACUCAGAAACCUGACUGAGACUUGCAGAAAGCAUCACAAUAGAAGGGCCGGCUCAUCAAGAGGUAGGUUCAGGUUCAAAGCGAACGCAUAUUGUAUUCUCUUUACUACGUACAUGACAACGCAGUACUUGAAUAUUUAUUCGGCUCAUUUACGCAAGCCAGAAUCUUUGUCGAGCAAUAUGUAGAGACAAGCAACGGAGACACAGGGAAAGGCUCGACAACAAAAGGGUGCUUUGCAGUGGAAAGGAAGGCAAGAACACCACACGAAGCUGGAAUAGAAGGGAAGGCGCUGAAGCAGGAAAAGAGACGCCAGGACAACAAACACUGGUUCUCGCGGGGAAGGAUGGGCAAGAAACCAGAAGUUAUAAGUAACUGUUACACCCCCUUAGCUUGUAAUAAAAUGGCAAGACUGGUUAGUUAAAGUUCAUGAUGUACAGAAGCUUCAAGUAUACACCAGUACAACUGUGUUUUAUUUGUAAGUUAUACACUGUCGCGUGUGGUUCCGAUGAUGCAACCUGCUUUUAUGUUGUGCUGCGCAUGCGCAAGAUCAUCGAGGUCUAUCCCUUAGGUUGUCACUGGAAGCAGUUUCCAUUGUAAUAAUUAUAUAUGUUAUUUGCCUUAAAUAUAUGAUGUCUUUUAAUAAAUAAUUUCUGCAUUCUACUAAGACUGUAUGCUUGUAGUGAGUUACGUUUUGGGCGAUAAGUAGGUCUUGCAUAAGGAUUAUUCAUGUCGCUACUCUUGAUUUUCACGUUCUUGAAGUGGCUAAACUUGCUAUUUUUCCGUUUUUUAUUCUGUACACACUAUUUUUUGUUACCAUUUGCUUUGCUUUUGAACCGUUGAUUUCUGUGUCUUGCGUACUCUUUUCCUGUGUUAUGGUGCCCAUCAGGAUCAAUUUGUUAGCUUGUGACUGGAAGCACAGUUCCCAUUGUAAUUGUAUAUGAUGUUUCCAUUGGAUAUAAGAUGUUUUUUUAAUUAUUUAUUGAUUUUUUACUGCGACUUUUUGUUAGUAACUAGUUACAUUAUCGGUGUUAAGUAAGUUUUGUAUAACAAUUGUUCAUGUCACCACUCUUUAUUUUAAUGUUCUUAAAGUGGCUAUUGUUAUUUUUGCGUUUUUCAAUAUGUAUACACUACUAUUCUUGCACUGCCAUUUGCUUUGUUUUCGUAUCGAUGGUUUCUGUAUCAUACACAUACUUUUUUGCUGUGUGUGAUGGUGCUGGUCAAGAUGUAUUAUUUGAUCUUGUGACUGGAAGCACAUUUUUCAGUGCAACUGUAUAUGUUAUUUAGUUUGAUUAUCUAGUGUAUCUAAUUAAUUACUUCUAGAAUUGGCUUUUGCUCCAGAUUCUUGCUAGUGAUUAUUUACAUGUUCGUUGUAAAAUUUUGAUCAGGAUUGUUUACCUCAUUUCUCGUGAUUUUCAAGUUCUUCAUAUGGUUAUUCUUGUUAUUCUUGCGUUUUUGAUGCUUUACACGCUGCUUUUCCUUAUUGUGACUUGCUUUGUUUUUCUACCGUUGAUUUCUGUAUCUUACGUGUAAUUUUGCUGUGAUUGCUUUGUAAUGGAUACCAUGGGUCUGGGAAGCGGUUUUUGCAGUUUCUAAGACAGAGAGAAUAGCAGCUUCGGCUUGUUGGUUUUCCAUCCUGGCGUUAACAGAGCAAUACGUAGACGGGCCACGAGACGAGAAGACGGCACCACAGCGCUUGUGGUGUCACCUUCUGGUCUCGUGUCCCAUCUACAUUUUGCGCUGUUAACACUAGGCCAGAGAGCCAGUCACAACUAUCUUGUAAAUAAAGCAAAUUGAAUGGGGAAAACACACCGUAACUAGGGUCGACUGAUUAUUAGUAUCUUUUGCAGGGUUCAUGACCACAUAGAACCAAAUCACUUGUUGAACGUUAAUGCAUGCGCACGAGCGAAAAAAUACCAAGAGCGCGGGCCAAGGUGCGCAAAAUAUCACCCCGUAUGUUUUGUAGUGUGAAGCGAAAAUUUUACUCAUUUAUUGAAUAAGCAGCUGCUUAAUUUGUCCCAGAAACGAUCUCCGAUGCCCGCGCUAUUUCUUCGCUGCGAUUCUCAAGGGGCAGGAAGCAUAUUAUGUGACUAAAUGGUUGCGGUAGACGGAAUAUUAGGGCGUCGCGGACACCGCAACUGUCAUGCUCGAGGCCAACACCUCCAAUAUUAAAAACCGAAUGCGCUUAUAGGGGGCCCCAUGCAAGAAGGGCAGGCGGCAGGAUUCAGAAAUACAAGCAGUUUACAAAGAUCCGCGCGCGUAUGAAGACUGGAGCCGCAGUCAGCGUGGUUUCCGGGAGCGUGCGAAAGCAGCGGGUGCAGCAAGAAGCGCGAAAGAAAGAAGAGGUGCGUUUCCGUUGCUAGACGCACGUCGCACGGCCGAACAUGCGCAGAGCAUACGCCAUAUGAACCUACCUGCAAGGAAAC